rnacentral:ncRNA from 1 species
UGUAUGUAUAGAUGACCUUUCCCUAGUACGAGAGGACCAGGAAGGACGCACCUCUGGUGUACCAGUUAUCGUGCCUACGGUAAACGCUGGGUAGCCAAGUGCAGAGAGGAUAACUGCUGAAAGGAUAUAAGUAGUAAGCCCACCCCAAGAUGAGUGCUCUCUCCUUCCACUUCCCUAGAGCUUCCGGUAUCACAGCCGAGACAGCGACGGGUUCUCCACCCAUACGGGGAUGGAGCGACAGAAGUAUGGAAAUAGGAUAAGGUAGCGGCAAGACGAGUCAUUUAAAUAGGUGUCAAGUGGAAGUGCAAUGAUGUAUGUAGCUGAGGCAUCCUAACGAACGAACGA